rnacentral:tRNA from 1 species
UUCGUAGAAUGUUCGGGUAAAUUUCGUACAGCCUUCUAAGCUGUGGGUCGCAGGUUCGAAUCCUGCCUGGGACG